rnacentral:lncRNA from 1 species
GGGAUGGGAAAGAAGCACUCACACAACCCCUGAGAAUCGGCAACAGAGUUCUUUAUUGUCAGGACAUCUUGCAGGUGAGCCUGCAGGGUGUCUGUGGUGUUUCGUGGCUCCAAGCUAAUGCUUGGGAUGGAGCCUGAGCAACGAGUAGGGAGCUCGCCGGGCACUGCUGCGACGCUGUUUGAGCGCUCGGAAGACAGGUAGCAAAGACCUGCCGGGGUAGUUCCAGGUCUGCUCUGGCCGAGGUGGAUCCACUUCCAUUGAUUCCUCCACAUCUGGUGGAUCCAUCUCCAUGGGCUCCACGGUGUUUGGCAGAAGGACAAGCCAGCCCUUGCCCGGGACUGCCCAAACAGGAUGCCUUCCAUCGGGAAUGUUUUCAGGCCAGGGUGCUGAACCAGGGGGUCGUCCAGUUCCACGCUGAGGUCCCAUGCCACUGUCCAGUUGAUUUCCAUGCAUGGGUUCAACAUUGCCGUCUGUUUCACGGCCAUGGCUGGGUCCCACACUGUGUUCUGGACGAUUGGCAUGCCUCCGCUCCCGCGGCUGUCUGCCUGGCGCUCCUGCCUUUGCCCCAAGCCACCGUUGUUCCAAUGGUCAGACCCAGGCCCCCUGUCGCUGUGUGUUUGAGGGGCCGGCCUGUUCCCUGCGUCAUUGCGGUGCCAAUGGUACCGCCUGUAAGUGUCUGUGGGCUGUGCGCCAGAGGUCCCUCGAGCACUGGUGUCAGUUGUGCUGCAGGCGCUUUCCCUCUGCCCACAACACUUCUUCUCGUUAGGUGCGUUCCUUCUCGGUGCUUCCUUGGACUGCAUAGCUGUCCUCUCACACCGAGGAGGCCUGCUGCUCGCCUUGCUGUUUCUAGUCGUCUUCCUGCCACACAAGAUGGCUGUCAGAGGGCCUAGAAGCUCAGUGAGUGGUGGGACAGCUGCAGGGGUCCUGUUUUAUAGGGCCCAGAGCAAAGGCAGGGCAGUGGUGGCCACUGUGACCUCAGCAAGGCUCUGUGAUGGAGUGGCCCACACGUGGCCAAAGGCGGCGGUGUUGGGAGCAGCCUGGAAGAUGCCCUCACGUGGAAGAAGAAGGAGGGUUGGGGGGGCUGAGGGCCCCUUUCUGGGGCUGGCUCCCCCAGGCCAUUUGGCUUGCCAGAGAGAAAGGCUGCCCCUCAGCCACAGGGUCUGCCCUCCACCUCCCAUCCUGUGCCCUGGGUUUAUUUUUAACACCGUUUUUAAGCUUGUUUUCUCAUGCAAGAAGGGAAAGAAAAGUGAGGCAGAGGAAAAAAGAUACGCUUUGAGCACCUGUGCUUCAAUGCACAGAGCUUUUCUAAAAGGGACUACCAGAACUGCCCUGGUGCUGAUGCUCGCC